rnacentral:lncRNA from 1 species
UUAGGUAAAGCUUCUGAGAAAGGUUGAAGGGCUCCGUUUAAAACCAGGGCAAGGAAGGCCUAUGAGGUUCCUAAAAUAAAAAUCAACCUCAAGGUAGCCAUAUCUAGGCUGAUGAUAUGGGAUCAAAACCUUAAAAUGUGUGAGGUAGGGCUGGUUCUGACACAAUGCAUCAUUCAUAUCACUAUCCCUUCUGGACACAGUGAAAAGAAUGAAGGGAAGAAUUUCUGAGAAUGAGAGUAUCAUCUGAAAGACUUGCAACCUCAGAGUCCAGGUGAAGAGG